rnacentral:rRNA from 1 species
UUGACCUCGGAUCAGGUAGGACUACCCGCUGAACUUAAGCAUAUCAAUAAGCGGAGGAAAAGAAACCAACAGGGAUUGCCCCAGUAACGGCGAGUGAAGCGGCAACAGCUCAAAUUUGAAAUCUGGCCUUCGGGUCCRAGUUGUAAUUUGUAGAGG